rnacentral:lncRNA from 1 species
AAAAUGAAAUAAAUAGUGUAUAGUUUUAGAAGUAACAGAUUUUAUAUUAUCAUUAAUUAGAAUUGUAUUGUAUAUGUUUCGUAAUUCUUUAUUUUAGGUGAAUAAUAUAAUUUUUCCAUAAAUAAUAAACAAAAUUUAUAAAGACAUAUUAAAAUAAAAUAUAAAAAAAUCAAAAUAUUAUCCAUAAAUAAUAUUGUAUAUGUGUCGUAAUUCUUUAUUUUAGGUGGAAUAAUAUAAUUUUUACAUAAAUAAUAAACAAACAUUUAUGUAGACAUAUUAAAAGAAAAUAUAAAAAAAAAUCAAAAUAUUAUCCAUAAAUAAUAUAAAUUAUGAAGUACAUUUCUCGAUAAAGAAAACAAAUUCAAUUAGAAACCUGCAAAAAAUUAAAUAAAUUUUGUAAGCAAUUUGACGGGUUACCAUUAUUUGAUAGAUUUAUAAAUUUCUAAAUUUUAUUGAACAUGAAAUAAUAUUAAAUUGACAUACCGUCAUCGGUCUCCUAACUCAUCACAACCCAUCUGGCAAAUACAAAAAAAAAAAAUUGUAACAGUUUAUAUAUUUUAAAAUUUGUAUUUGAAAAAAAAAAGUAUAUUAAAAUUACGUACUGUGACUACGAAAUAUUCUGAAAAACUUGUUUGUAGACAACAUUCAAUGUUUUUGUCUGCAGCUUCCCUUCUUUACCAGUUAUUAGGAUUUUUAAUCCAG